rnacentral:rRNA from 1 species
GGGUGAGUAAUACAUCGGAACGUACCUUGUAGUGGGGGAUAGCUCGGCGAAAGCCGGAUUAAUACCGCAUACGCUCUGAGGAGGAAAGCGGGGGACCUUCGGGCCUCGCGCUACAAGAGCGGCCGAUGUCAGAUUAGCUAGUUGGUGGGGUAAAAGCUCACCAAGGCGACGAUCUGUAGCUGGUCUGAGAGGACGACCAGCCACACUGGGACUGAGACACGGCCCAGACUCCUACGGGAGGCAGCAGUGGGGAAUUUUGGACAAUGGGCGAAAGCCUGAUCCAGCAAUGCCGCGUGUGUGAAGAAGGCCUUCGGGUUGUAAAGCACUUUUGUCCGGAAAGAAAUCCUCUGGGUUAAUACCUCGGGGGGAUGACGGUACCGGAAGAAUAAGCACCGGCUAACUACGUGCCAGCAGCCGCGGUAAUACGUAGGGUGCAAGCGUUAAUCGGAAUUACUGGGCGUAAAGCGUGCGCAGGCGGUUUUGUAAGACGGAUGUGAAAUCCCCGGGCUUAACCUGGGAACUGCAUUCGUGACUGCAAGGCUAGAGUAUGGCAGAGGGGGGUAGAAUUCCACGUGUAGCAGUGAAAUGCGUAGAGAUGUGGAGGAAUACCGAUGGCGAA